CUGCCACCUGAGUGUAGACAUCUUUUGGCCCUGGAGCCCAGAGAGGCUGAAUGUGGAGAGGGUGGAGAGAGGUCUGUAGUCCUCAGAGAAGACUUGCAGCUUUUUCAGAGCCACCAACCCAUAAAAAAAAAAAUCCCCAAACAGAAAAAUCCUAACUGUGGUGACCAGGUACCUCCUGAGACAUGAAGCCUCCACUUACCUGGACCCUGGAGGCCUCUCCGGGCACAGCUGCCAAUGUUGAUCUUAGAUAAGACCACCAGCAAGUAAACAUCCACUGUGCAAAGCUGUGUUAUCUUUGGGGAACUGAAAUGUCCCCUGGGAGUUGGAAACUCCCCUAGCCACAUACCACAGAGUUGAGGAAGGAAGAGCUGAUGGACGGAAGAACCAUGGCGGGAGGAGUCAUCCGGAAGCUACCUCGCUGCCCUGUCAGUUACGGAACAGAGGAGAGAUGCCGGCUGGAGGACACAGCAAAUUUGAACCAAGAGGAGCUUGGAGGAAGCCCGAGCGACCUGGAGGGGACUGGCUGACCUUCCUCAUUCUUUUCAAGUGUGAAUAAUAACCAAGCCCAGUUUGGCAACUCCUUGAGGGUGAGGACGAAGCCCCAUUCUCCUUUUUGGAACUUGGUGGGGCUCAGGAAGCAGGUUCUCUCCAGUCGGUGGCUUUCCUUUCUGUUGCGGGUCUCUUGAGGGCCUGCCUUCAUGAAGGCACAUGAGUGACUCAUCAUUUGUGAAUUAAUUGCUAUAUGUGAAGGGCAUCUGAGAACAAAUUAUCUUCAUAGACUUUAUUAUAAUUUUAUUUGUACUGAUACCAACCAGCCCUGUGUUAGAGGAGGAAAAGCGGAGAUGACAUGGAAGUCUCCAAGCCUGUG
rnacentral:antisense_RNA from 1 species